GAGACCGCGUCCGCCCCACGAACACAGAGCCUCGCCUUCGCCGCUCCACCGCCUGUCCACACCUGCCGCCAGCUCACCAUGGAUGAUGAUAUCGCCAUGCUCGUUGUGGACAACGGCUCCGGCAUGUGCAAGGCCGGCUUCGCGGGCGACGAUGCCCCCCGGGCCGUCUUCCCCUCCAUCGUGGGGCACCCCAGGCACCAGGGCAUGAUGGUGGGCAUGGGUCAGAAGGAUUCAUAUGUUGGGCGACGAGGCCCAGAGCAACAGAGGCAUCCUCACCCUGAAGUACCCCAUCGAGCACAGCAUCGUCACCAACUGGGACAACAUGGAGAAGAUCUGGCACCACACCUUCUACAAUGAGCUGUGUGUGGCUCCUGAGGAGCACCCCAUGCUGCUGACCGAGGCCCGCCUAAACCCCAAGGCCAACCGCGAGAAGAUGACCCAGAUCAUGUUUGAGACCUUCAACACCCCAGCCAUGUACGUGGCCAUCCAGGCUGUGCUGUCCCUGUACGCCUCUGGCCGUACCACUGGCAUCGUGAUGGACUCCGGUGACAGGGUCACCCACACUGUGCCCAUCUAUGAGGGGUAUGCCCUCCCCCACACCAUCCUGUGUCUGGACCUGGCUGGCAGGGACCUGACUACCUCAUGAAGAUCCUCACUGAGCGCAGCUACAGCUUCACCACCAUGGCUGAGUGGGAAAUCAUGCAUGAUAUCAAGGAGAAGCUGUGCUACGUCGCCCUGGACUUCAAGCAGGAGAUGGCCAUAGUGGCUUCCAGCUCCUCCCUGGAGAAGAGCUACGAGCUGCCCGAUGGCCAGGUCAUCACCAUUGGCAACGAGCGGUUCCACUGCCCUGAGGCUCUCUUCCAGCCUUCCUUCCUGGGCAUGGAAUCCUGUGGCAUCCACGAAACUAUCUUCAACUCCAUCAUGAAGUGUGGACAUCGGUAAAGACCUGUACGCCAACACAGUGCUGUCUGGUGGCACCACCAUGUGCCCUGGCAUUGCCAACAGGAUGCAGAAGGAGAUUACUGCCCUGGCGCCCAGCACGAUGAAGAUCAAGAUCAUUGCUCCUCCUGAGUGCAAGUAUUCUGUGUGGAUGGGUGGCUCCAUCCUGGCCUCACUGUCCACCUUCCAGCAGAUGUGGAUCAGCAAGCAGGAGUAUGAUGAGUCUGGCCCCUCCAUCGUCCACCGCAAAUGCUUCUAAGCGGACUGUGACUUAGUUGCGUUACACCCUUUCGUGACAAAACCUAACUUGCACAGAAAACAAGAUGAGAUUGGCAUAGCUUUAUUUGUUUUUUUUUGUUUUGUUUUGUUUUGGUUUUUUUUGGCUUGACUCAGGAUUUAAAAACUGGAACAGUGAAGGUGACAGCAGUCAGUUGGAGCGAGCAUCCCCCAAAGUUCUACAACGUGGCCGAGGACUUUGAUUGUACAUUGUUCUUUCUUUUUUAAUAGUCAUUCCACAUAUGAGAUGCAUUGUUACAGGAAGUCCCCUGCCCUCCUAAAAGCCACCCCACUUCUCUCUAAGGAGAAUGGCCCAGUCCUCUCCCGAGUCCACACAGGGGAGGUGAUAACAUUGCUUUCGUGUAAAUUAUGUAAUGCAAAAUUUUUUUAAUCUUCGCCUUAAUACUUUUUUAUUUUGUUUUAUUUUGAAUGAUGAGCCUUCAUGCCCCCUCUUUUUUGUCCCCCAACUUGAGAUGUCUGAAGGCUUUUGGUCUCCCUGGGAGUGGGUGGAGGCAGCCAGGGCUUACCUGUACACUGACUUGAGACCAGUUGAAUAAAAGUGCACACCUUAAAAAAA